GCGCCCGUAGCUCAAUUGGACAGAGUAGUUGGCUUCGAACCAAUUGGUUGGAGGUUCGAGUCCUCCCGGGCGUGCCA
rnacentral:tRNA from 1 species